AAGUAUCACAAGAAAUGCUAUAAUGAUGUGAAAGAUAUGCUCGCUGCUAGCGGUUUCGAAUGGGAUAAUGACCGAAUGGUUGUAACAGCACCGGACGAAGUAUGGGAAGCCUAUCUCAGGUCUUAUCCAUGAACUGAAAGACUCCGAGGAAAGCAAAUCGAGAGGAUGGACGAUUUAGUUGUUAUCAUCGGUGAUGAUCAGGCAACUGGUCGUUACGUACAAGGCAGUAGGAAUUUGGUUGCAUCCUCGUCACGUGUCCAACGAGAUUUAAAUGAAAUAUGGUCAGAUGGGGGAUGAGGAUAUGGAAGAUAGUGUGGAUCGAUCUGCCGACAAUUUAGGGGACUCAGCGACGAAAUCACGAUCUUCUUCCGACAGUCAGUCAUGGGAAAAUCGGUCGUGUCGAAGUACACCCAAAUGUGCAUCUGAUUCUGAGAAUAAAAAUGGCGGUGGUACUACAACGAAGCGGUUGCAUCCUGGUCAUCCUUGUGACGUACUCGGGAAGUCUCUAACUCACAUUAUCGAGGCCAUGACCCAUUUUGGUCUUGGAAAGGAAGUGGACCGUAUAACUAAAGUGUUGGACAUCCUUGAAGAGGUGCAAGGGUUGACCAACUCCAAGUUCAUUGAAGUUGGUCAGCUCUUGUCCAAGGACAAACAACUCACUUCCUUCUUUGUUAGUCUCCGAUAGGAACGCCGCGUGGAGUGGUUGAAACAAACUCUCCACAAUUCUCAGAAAAACAUUGGUGGUGCAGAUCUAUGACGGGCGAUGUUUUAUAUAUGAUGCAAGCUUGGUAGACGUUUGUGCUAGUGUCUUAUGCUCUUGACAGGUACCCUGUAUGGAGACAGUUUGGAAGAUGAAACAUUUAAACUAUCGACUUUUAUAUUUGGUUUGGAUAUUGGGGACAUGUAAUAACUAUAAACCUUGAACUAUUUGUGGAUUGGCUUUAUGGUUUGGUGGCUAGGUAGAUGGACGUGCCUGUUUAAAACAGGGCAUGUGAGAGGUCUUUACUUAAUUGCAGUCAAAGACUUUUGGAUGAUAACUGUUAAUAUUUUGGAUAAUGUUGUGUAUGGAUGUUUGAUAUUUUUCUUAAUCUGAAAUCUCUUUUGAAGAUGCAUUCCUAGAUGUAUAUUAUUUGUUCACGUACAUUUCAUUGUUUAUUUUUGCAACAUCUAUGCAUUACCCAUUUUGCAGGUGUUGCAAUUAUCAUCAGGGAAAUGUAUGCGUUUAAAAAUCUUAAAGAAAAGCCGGGUGCUCUAAUGAAUGUAACAUAAACAGUUACAUAAUUUAUUCCAAUCAAUAUAUGGAUACAAAUAUAUAUUUACGUCAUCUAGUUGUUAUAACUAUCCUGAUAUUUGCUCGUUUGGGUCUGAUAAUGUGCAGAUGGCUAAGAAGGUAUAUGUCGUAUUCAUUGGCCGCAGACUCAGGAUAUAUUAUGAUUGGGAGGAGUGUCGUGCACAGGUGGAGGGCUAUUCCAGGGCAUGUUUCCACGAUUAUAGUUCAAUUGCAGAAACAUCUAUAGGUUGGACAACUUUUUAAUAAAGAAGUGGCUCCCGAAAUGUACCAGGAGAUGAAAUCCCAGACGGCCGUGAGAGUCCAGUGUCGGAAGAAAGUGAGCAUUGCAAUGACAGUUGCACCAAUCAUCCUCUACGUCCAUCCUCAAGACCGACCUCUAGUUGUCCAUCCAUUGGUGACACUGACUCACACAGAGAAUGUGCUGAAGAAAAUGGAAACGAUGAUGCGGCGAUCAUUAUAAAGUUAAUCUUCGAAAUCUUUAUCUUAGUUCUCUCUAUUCAACUCAUGUCAUUGCACUAAAUUAGUUAUGGACUUUUACAUAACUACUUAUGGACUUUUAUA